AUACGUAGGUGGGCAAGCGUUGUCCGGAUUUACUGGGUGUAAAGGGUGAGUAGGCGGUUACAUAUGUCAGAUGUAAAAGGCUAAGGCUUAACCAUAGUAUGCAUUUGAAACUGUGUGACUUGAGUACAGGAGAGGUAAGCGGAAUUCCUAGUGUAGCGGUGAAAUGCGUAGAUAUUAGGAGGAACACCAGUGGCGAAGGCGGCUUACUGGACUGUAACUGACGCUGAGUCACGAAAGCGUGGGUAGC
rnacentral:rRNA from 1 species